rnacentral:rRNA from 1 species
GAGUUUGAUCGUGGCUCAGAACGAACGCUGGCGGCAUGCCUAACACAUGCAAGUCGAACGAUGGCUUCGGCCAUAGUGGCGCACGGGUGAGUAACGCGUGGGAACCUGCCUUUUGGUUUGGGAUAACUCCGGGAAACUGGAGCUAAUACCGAUGAGCCCGCAGCAAUGCGGGGAAAGAUUUAUCGCCAAGAGAGGGGCCCGCGUCCGAUUAGGUAGUUGGUGGGGUAACGGCCUACCAAGCCGACGAUCGGUAGCUGGUCUGAGAGGAUGAUCAGCCACACUGGGACUGAGACACGGCCCAGACUCCUACGGGAGGCAGCAGUGGGGAAUAUUGGACAAUGGGCGCAAGCCUGAUCCAGCAAUGCCGCGUGGAUGAUGAAGGCCUUAGGGUUGUAAAGUCCUUUCGGCGGGGACGAUGAUGACGGUACCCGCAGAAGAAGCCCCGGCUAACUUCGUGCCAGCAGCCGCCGUAAU